UACGUAUGGAGCAAGCGUUAUCCGGAUUUACUGGGUGUAAAGGGUGCGUAGGCGGCACAGCAAGUCAGAUGUGAAAGACCGGGGCUCAACCCCGGGGCUGCAUUUGAAACUGCCGAGCUUGAGUCCGGGAGAGGCAGGCGGAAUUCCUAGUGUAGCGGUGAAAUGCGUAGAUAUUAGGAGGACACCAGUGGCGAAGGCGGCCUGCUGGACCGGAACUGACGCUGAGGCACGAAAGCGUGGGGAGCAAACAGG
rnacentral:rRNA from 1 species